rnacentral:tRNA from 1 species
GGUCCCAUCGUCUAGAGGCCAAGGAUAGCGGGUUCUCAUCCCGUCGACGGGGGUUCGAAUCCCCCUGGGACCACCA